GUCCACGCCUAACUAUGAUCACUCGAUAUUGGAAGGCUCGACCCUUUCAGUGUCUAAGCUAACGCGAUAAGUGAUCCGCCUGGGUAGUACGAUCGCAAGAUUAAACUCAAAGGAAUAGACGGGACCCGCACAAGCGGUGGAGCAUCUGGUUUAAUUCGACAACAACCGUAACCUCACCAAGACUUGACAUCCCGAGAAGUUUGCCGAAAGGCGAAUGUGCCGUAAGGACUCGGUGACAGGUGCUGCAUGGUUGUCGU
rnacentral:rRNA from 1 species